rnacentral:lncRNA from 7 species
AUCUCUAUGGGUCGAUGCCAUCAUUGGGGUCACCUCUAUGGGUUGAUGUCCCCAAGGGACGUCCCCAAGGGUCGAUGCCAUCAUUGGGGUCACCUCCAUGGGUCGAUGCCAUCAUUGGGGUCAUCUCUAUGGGCCGAUGCCAUCAUUGGGGUCACCUCCAUGGGUUGAUGUCCCCAAGGGUGUUGUGGUCGGGCCAUCAUUGGGGUCACCUCCAUGGGUUGGUGGCAUCAUUGGGGUCACUCCCAUGGGUUGAUGUCCCCAAGGGACUGUCCCCCAUGGGCGUGCCAUCAUUGGGGUCACCUCCAUGGGUUGAUGUCCCCAAGGGUUGGUGGCAUCAUUGGGGUCACCUCCAUGGGUUGGUGGCAUCAUUGGGGUCACCUCCAUGGGUUGAUGUCCCCAAGGGUUGGUGGCAUCAUUGGGGUCACCUCCAUGGGUCAAUGCCAUCAUUGGGGUCACCUCCAUGGGUCAAUGCCAUCAUUGGGGUCACCUCCAAGCCCUGAUGGGCCAUCCAUUGGGGCCAUCAUCGGGCCAUCUCCCAAUCCUUGAUGCCCCCAUUGGGGCCACCUCCCCCCCAAACCUCAUUGCCCCCCUCCCACCCUGAACCCCCCAUAACCCCAACAUCCCCCCUUUUUCCAGGGGUGCUCUACAACCAAUUCCUAUCCCAGGUGGAUUUCGAGGUGCUUCGGGACCACGCCAGGGCUUUGGGGGUGUUGGUGUUCGAGAACCCCACCAGGCGCCUCAUGGUGGUCACCCCGGGGGGGCACCCCGAUGUCAAACGCUUCUGGAACGACAGAAAGCACAGCUCUUAGGGACCCCCCCCCCCAACCCCAUAUCCCAAACCCCCUCCCAAAACACCCCCCCCCCCCCUUUUUUUAUCUGUAUAUGAAAUGUGGGGUUUUUUAAGCCGAAUAAUAGAAUAAAAGAGGAGAAUUUGGGGGGGGGCUCCGUCCUCGUUUUUCAACCGUAGAACCCCAUUUCCCCCCCCCCCCCCAAAAUUUACCCCAAAGAACCCAAUUUUCACCCAAAAGAACCCCAUUUCCCCACAAAUAACCCCAUUUUCACCCAAAAGAACUCCAUUUCCCCCCAAUAACCCAUUUCCCCCAAAAUAACCCAUUUCCCCCCAAAUAACCCAAUUUCCCCCCAAAAUAACCCCAUUUCCCCCCAAAUAACUCCAUUAUUCCCCCCAAAUAACCCAAUUUGCCCCCCAAAUAACCCAAUUUCCCCCCAAAAUAACCCCAUUUCCCCCAAAUAACC